UUACUACUCCCUCCGUCCAAAAAUACUUGUCAUUGAAAUGGAUGUAUCUAGAUGUAUUUUAGUUCUAGACACAUCCAUUUUGAUGACAAGUAAUUCCGGAUGGAGGGAGUAUUAU
rnacentral:pre_miRNA from 1 species